GUUUAAAUAGCUUAUGUAGAGCAUAGUAUUGAAGAUACUAAUGAAAUAUAAAAUUAUAUUUUUAGAUA
rnacentral:tRNA from 1 species